GACGCCUUAAACCUAGCCCAUAUUGGACGGACCCCCCCCCCCCCCGCACGCAGGCACAAAACAUUUUUUAUCCCCCAGUAUAUGCGAUUAGAAAGGAAUUUGGAGCUAUACAAACAGUACCGUAAGGGAAAGAUGAAAUAAAGUUAAAAUAAAAGCGCAAAACAGCAAAGACUCCAACUUGUACCUUUUGCAUCAUGGUCUAACUAGUUUAACCAGGCAAAAAGAUUUUUAGUCUGACAUCCCGAAACCAAGUGAGCUACUCCGAGGUAACCUUAGAGUCAACCCGUCUCUGUGGCAAAAGAGUGGGAAAACCCCCGAGUAGAGGUGAUAUACCUACCGAACUUGGUUAUAGCUGGUUACUCAAGAAAAGAAUUUUAGUUCUGACUUAAGAGUGGAACCCCCCCCAGCAAUUAUACGCACCUGAAUCUCUUAAGAUUUAUUCAAUAAGGGUACAGCCUUAUUGAAAAAGGACACAACCUCCAACCCUGGCUAACGACCGUAUUUCCCCCCCCCGAACAAGUUGGCUUAAGAGCAGCCACCUUUUAAAAAGCGUCAAAGCUUACUCUAACCUGUUAAACAAAUUCCUUUUUGCCAACGGAUUCCGACGUCCCUAUUGAGCCAUUCUAUAUUACUAUAGAAGAGUUUAUGUUAGAACUAGUAACUCAGAAUUACCUCUCUCUAUGCAUGUGUAAAUCAGAUCGAAUAAAUCACUGAUAAUUAUUCAGUACUGAGACCAGUGUAGUAACUUCACCAGAAAACCCUACUCCACUUGAACUGUUAACCUAACACAAGAGCAUAAAAGAAAGAUUUAAAGACAAAGAAGGAACUCGGCAAAUUGAAGUCCCGCCUGUUUACCAAAAACAUCGCCUUUUGAAAAUUAUAUAAGGUAAUGCCUGCCCAGUGACCAUGUGUUUAACGGCCGCGGUAUUCUGACCGCGCGAAGGUAGCGUAAUCACUUGUUUUUUAAAUAAAGACCAGUAUGAACGGCCCGACGAGGACUUAACUGUCUCCUUUGUCUAAUCAGUGAAACUGAUUUCCUCGUGCAGAAGCGAGGAUAAGCCCGUAAGACGAGAAGACCCUAUGGAGCUUUAAACUUAAUCAACCACUUACUAACCUUGUCCUAGGACCCAACCCUAAAUUAUGUGAGUUUGGAUAAAGUUUUAGGUUGGGGCGACCAUGGAGAAAAAAAGACCCUCCCUGAUGACUUUAACCAAGAACUACAGUUCUAAGUUCUAAGAUUCUUAACUCCAAUUGACCCACUUUGUGACCAACGAACCAAGUUACCCUAGGGAUAACAGCGCCAUCCAUUUCUAGAGUUCCUAUCGACAAAUGGGUUUACGACCUCGAUGUUGGAUCAGGGCAUCCAAG
rnacentral:rRNA from 1 species